UGGAGUAUAGCUCAAUGGUAGAGCACUUGCCUAGCAAGCAUGAAGCUCUUGGUUCUAAUCCUUUCUACCAU
rnacentral:tRNA from 1 species